rnacentral:rRNA from 1 species
CCACCAAGGCGACGAUGGGUAGCCGGUCUGAGAGGAUGACCGGCCACACUGGAACUGGAACACGGUCCAGACUCCUACGGGAGGCAGCAGUGGGGAAUAUUGCGCAAUGGGCGAAAGCCUGACGCAGCGACGCCGCGUGAGGGAUGAAGGUUCUCGGAUCGUAAACCUCUGUCAGGGGGGAAGAAACCCCCUCGUGUGAAUAAUGCGAGGGCUUGACGGUACCCCCAAAGGAAGCACCGGCUAACUCCGUGCCAGCAGCCGCGGUAAUACGGAGGGUGCAAGCGUUAAUCGGAAUCACUGGGCGUAAAGCGCACGUAGGCGGCCCGGUAAGUCAGGGGUGAAAUCCCACAGCCCAACUGUGGAACUGCCCUUGAUACUGCCGGGCUUGAGUACCGGAGAGGGUGGCGGAAUUCCAGGUGUAGGAGUGAAAUCCGUAGAUAUCUGGAGGAACACCGGUGGCGAAGGCGGCCACCUGGACGGUAACUGACGCUGAGGUGCGAAAGCGUGGGUAGCAAACAGGAUUAGAUACCCUGGUAGUCCACGCCGUAAACGAUGGGUGCUGGGUGCUGGGAUGUAUGUCUCGGUGCCGUAGCCAACGCGAUAAGCACCCCGCCUGGGGAGUACGGUCGCAAGGCUGAAACUCAAAGAAAUUGACGGGGGCCCGCACAAGCGGUGGAGUAUGUGGUUUAAUUCGAAGCAACGCGAAGAACCUUACCAGGUCUUGACAUCCGAUGCAUAGUGCAGAGAUGCAUGAAGUCCUUCGGGACAUCGAGACAGGUGGUGCAUGGUUGUCGUCAGCUCGUGUCGUGAGAUGUUGGGUUAAGU